rnacentral:rRNA from 1 species
CUCCCUCGUUGCUGACCCCAGGUUCGAUAGUGCCAAUGAGACACUACCUCGCCAAGAACCAACUUCGAUGAAGCGACGGGCGGUGUGUGCAAGG